rnacentral:lncRNA from 1 species
UUUCUGUUACUUUUGGAUGGCUUUCCCCUAAAGAGCCAUAUGAAGAAGACAAAAAGGAUCCAUCAAACACAUUAGAUGUGUCAUCAUAGUGGUCUCUGACAUCAUAGUGGUCUCUGACAUCAUAAUGGUCUCUGACAUCAUAGUGGUCUCUGACUUGUGGUCAGACUCGCUCAGGGGUAACAAAUUGGCACCUUUUUUCAACGCUGAAUUGAAUGUCAUUUUCGAAAACAGAAAGAUAACAUGUACUCGGUGACUCCCCAAUCCUGGCUAUCUUUACUGUCUCUCUGUCUGUCAGCUGCCAACUGAGGAGACCAUACAUAUCAGGUAUCCUCAGAAAUGAACAUUUUCCUAAUUAGGAACUGUUAAUUACACUUUUGGACUAAUGGCCUUAAUUACCAGAACAUAAUUUGCUUUCAGAUUCACAACAUACCUCCCUGAUUUAGACAAUGAUCUGUUUAGUAAACAAUACGACUUAAUUGCAUACAUUUGCAUAAACAAAUGAACUAAUUAAUUACAAUUAAGCUCAUCCCGAUGAGUCUGUGUACAAUUAGAGUCUUCUUAUCCCUGGAGUGAGACCUCACACAACACGUUACGCACAAGAGUGUGUGUGUGUGAGCACAAGAUGGUGAGAAAACAUAACCAAUGCAUUCUGUGAAGACUGACUUCGUCAUUUUUCCUUUCUUUUCUCCUCCUUCCCUCUCUUGUUCUUUCGGGUUUGGAGAUGGAGGGACCUCUCCCCUCCUUUUCUGUGUCGGAAUUUAAUAUGCAACUUUUUAUUGGAAAACAAUUGCGCGUGCCUGCGUGAAUCCUGACCGCAAUAUAUCUGUUAGCGCCCCUAAUCCGAUCAGUACAGGGAGGGCUAUUUAUCACCGCAGAUCCAGGGCAUUUCAGCCUUCUUUUUAUUAUUUUAAUAUAUUUCUGAGCUAUUAAAUCACUAAAUGAUGAAUUAGGGCUGUCCGCCACCCUUUCACCAGCUUGACAGAAAAUGAUGCACUACCCAAUUUGAGUGGUCAUUUGGACUUUUAAAGACAAAAAAUGAGCAAAGAAAAAGUCCAAUACUUUUCAGUUUUCUAUUUUUUUUCUUUCCCACCCCCUCUGUGCCUUUCAACUGGGUGUUUCUUAAUAAUACUGCUUAUUUGGGCUUUAUUGCCAUGUUAGUGAGGGCAGCACCAAAACUAUCUUCAAUAUUCAGCCAAUUACUAAACACACACACACAAACACACACAAUCUCAAGACAAAUAGCACACACACACUCUGUAUUUCUCUGUACUGCUUUGUUUCCUUUCACACUUGUGAAUACAUGCAUUGAUUCACUUGGUACACACCACACCAUCACAUCAGCAUGAUCUGUUCAUGCUUUGAUUUCAACCAGUUGAAACAACUUUUCAUUUUAUUGUCUGAUGAUGCGAUUUAAACACCUUGCUGGAGAUGAAGCUGAGUGUCUACAUACAACCCAUACUUUCCCAUUCAUGUUCAGACAUUUCCCACAGAACAAUUGUUAUACAUAGCUAAUAAAGGUUAUAUCCUGCCUGUUUGGCCCUGUCCUGGGGUAUCGUCGGACGGGGCCACAGUGUCUCCCGACCCCUCCUGUCUCAGCCUCCAGUAUUUAUGCUGCAAUAGUUUACGUGUCGGGGGGCUAGGGUCAGUCUGUUAUAUCUGGAGUAUUUCUCCUGUCUUAUCCGGUGUCCUGUGUGAAUUUAAGUAUGCUCUCUCUAAUUCUCUCUCUCUUAUGCUCUCUGUCUCUUUCUUUCUCUUUCUCGGAGGGCCUGAGCCCUAGGACCCAUGCCUCAGGACUACCUGACCUGAUGACUCCUUGCUGUCCCCAGUCCACCUGGUCGUGCUGCUGCUCCAGUUUCAACUGUUCAGCCUGCGGCUAUGGAACCCUGACCUGUUCACCGGACGUGCAACCUUGUCCCGGACUGUUUUCAACUCUCCAGAGACAGCAGGAGCGGUAGAGAUACUCUGAAUGAUCGGCUAUGAAAAGCCAACUGACAUUUACUCCUGAGGUGCUGACCUGUUGCACCCUCGACAACCACUUUGAUUAUUAUUAUUUGACCCUGCUGGUCAUCUUUGAACAUUUGAACAUCUUGGCCAUGUUCUGUUAUAAUCUCCACCCGGCACAGCUAGAAGAGGACAGGCCACCCCUCAUAGCCUGGUUCCUCUCUAGGUUUCUUCUUAGGUUCCGGCCUUUCUAGGGAGUUUUACCUAGCCACCGUGCUUCUACACCUGCAUUGCUUGCUGUUUGGGGUUUUAGGCUGGGUUUCGGUACAGCACUUUGGGACAUCACUUGAUGUUAGAAGGGCUUUAUAAAUACAUUUGAUUGAUUGAUAAACUCAAUUUAAGUCAUCAAAUGUAUCAUUCACAUGGUCUUGUUUGCAGUACCACAUUUCUGUAAUUUACCGGAUUCCAUCAUAACGUAACCCUCAUCUGGUUUAACCUGCUCAUUUUUGUCUAGCCUCUAUAAUCACUGUCAUUAUUAACAGACCGUUUAGUUUAUGCACAGGUGGCUCCAGUGGAUUUGGUUGGUUUCAAGGCCUGAGUCACUAUUCAGAUCAUCACAAACAAGAUCUUUUAAAUUCUUCUUAUUCUCUUCUCUCUCAUUCUACUCUUUUUAUUAUUUCACUCUUCUCUCUCAUUCUAAUCUUUAUUAUUUCACUCGUCUGUCUGUCUGUCUGUCUGUCUGUCUGUCUGUCUGUCUGUCUGUCUGUCUGUCUGUCUGUCUGUCUGUCUGUCUGUCUGUCUGUCUGUCUGUCUGUCUGUCUGUCUGUCUGUCUGUCUGUGUAGCAGUUCUGGGAUUGGGGCAGUUCUGCUCCAGCCCAGUAGAGGGCGUUGGUGUGGCCAUGUCACAAUGAGGGAGUCGUCCCCUGCCACCCUACUCAGGGACAGCUGUCUCUCCCCUCCGACCACCCCCAGGAGUCCUCACACCAAUCAGCCCUACCCAGCCAGAAUCAAUUAGCACCGGGAGGGGGGUGGACGAGAUGGGGGAGAGGGGGGCAAGGACCCACAGAGGACGACUGUCCCCACACAUGGCCCUGUCUCUGGACACUGUCUCACUCCAGCACCCCCAAAGCCUCCACGCAGCACCUCGCCUCACUUUCCUGUGAUCCAACCUCCUCUCUCUCUUUCAGUCCUCUCCCUCUCCUCCCUGAUCCCUUCCAUCUGUUCUCCUCGUCUCUUCCCCCUGUUCUAUCACUACUGUAUCUUAUCUUCCCUCUCUUUUGAUCUUAUUUUUCUCAUCCAUCUUUUCAAUGGUUUACAAUCUCCUUAUUUCAUCCUUCCCCCCAUCUCUGUCUUCAUUAAUAAUGGUAUGAAAGAGGAAAAUAUUAUGAGAGGGGAGAGAUGAAACUGAAGUAUAGAGUCAGAGUGUGGACCUCAUGAAUUACCUGAGAUGAGAGGAAGACUUGAGGACAGCAGAGGAGUGAACAUGAGAGAGAUGGCUUAAGGAACACUUGGUCUUUAUUGCUGCUGAAAGUACAAUUGAAACCAGUUAAAGAUGUGUGUUAAUAAAUGUUAAAUCGUCUUUCAGAGCACAGCUAGAGGGCCUGGAGUCGCCUCUCUUAUUGCUUACCCAUCCGCCCAGCUUCCUCCUCUUUCCAUCUCUCUGUCCAUCUCUGGCUCUCUCACUCCACCGUCUAUCUUUCCUCUCCUCUUCCAUUCUCACUUUGGCCCAUCUCUCUCUCUCUCUCUCUCUCUCUCUCUCUCUCUCUCUCUCUCAGAAAGCGAGGGAUGAAUAAUUUAGCUUGUAAAGGGACUUCCAGAAUUCCUCCAUAUCCAUUCCUUGAUUUAUUUUACCUCAGUAAUAUGUUCCUAUGUGUUGCAUCC